UGGGGAAUUUUGGACAAUGGGCGAAAGCCUGAUCCAGCAAUGCCGCGUGUGUGAAGAAGGCCUUCGGGUUGUAAAGCACUUUUGUCCGGAAAGAAAUCCUUGGCUCUAAUACAGUCGGGGGAUGACGGUACCGGAAGAAUAAGCACCGGCUAACUACGUGCCAGCAGCCGCGGUAAUACGUAGGGUGCAAGCGUUAAUCGGAAUUACUGGGCGUAAAGCGUGCGCAGGCGGUUUGCUAAGACCGAUGUGAAAUCCCCGGGCUCAACCUGGGAACUGCAUUGGGUGACUGGCAGGCUAGAGUAUGGCAGAGGGGGGUAGAAUUCCACGUGUAGCAGUGAAAUGCGUAGAGAUGUGGAGGAAUACCGAUGGCGAAGGCAGCCCCCUGGGCCAAUACUGACGCUCAUGCACGAAAGCGUGGGGAGCAAACAGGAUUAGAUACCCUGGUAGUCCACGCCCUAAACGAUGUCAACUAGUUGUUGGGGAUUCAUUUCCUAGUAACGUAGCUAACGCGUGAAGUUGACCGCCUGGGGAGUACGGUCGCAAGAUUAAAACUCAAAUGAAUUGACGGGGUCAUA
rnacentral:rRNA from 1 species